rnacentral:SRP_RNA from 1 species
ACCGCCGGAGCGAAUGACGGUAUGGCGCGAAUCAUGUCAGGCGAGAAAUCGAGCAGCAUUAAGUGUAUGUUAUCGGGUGUUUUGGUUUCUGACGGUGCG